AUGAGGGGCUUAUUCCAGUUAUGUAACUCCUGCAAAGAAGGGCCUGGAAUCAGCUUUGCAAUUCUUAUCUACCUAGAGUCCCGCUCACGUCAACUGCAGACCCAGACUUCAGCCAGAGAUAGGUUAAUAAAGAGAGUUUACUUUAUUGUAAGAACACAAUGUACAACACAUAUAACAUACGAAGAUGUGUUAUCGACUGUAUUACUGGUUACACUCCCUUUCUGUGCUGCCAGAGGACUCUGA
rnacentral:lncRNA from 1 species